rnacentral:rRNA from 1 species
GACAGAGGAGCCAAGCGUUGUCCGGAUUGACUGGGCGUAAAGCGCACGCAGGCGGUCGUGCACGUGGGGUGUGAAAACUGGCGGCUUAACUGCCAGAGGCCACCUCAUACGGCGCGACUCGAGCCCUGCAGAGGUCCAUGGAAUUGCCGGUGUAGUGGUGAAAUGCGUAGAGAUCGGCAGGAACACCCAGGGGGAAGCCAGUGGACUGGGCAGGAGCUGACGCUCAGGUGCGAAAGCGUGGGGAGCGAACCGG